UGGCUCAGAUGGUAAAGCAUCUGUCUGCAGUGCAGGAGACCCAGGUUCAAUCCCUGG
rfam:TPA: Bos taurus chromosome 26, whole genome shotgun sequence.